ensembl:snoRNA SNORA70 Small nucleolar RNA SNORA70
CUGCAGUGUAUUAAGCCGACUGGUUCUGCUGAUGUGUGGUUCUGGUGUGCAAAUGCUGCAAAUAGUGUCACUAUGGUUGUGUAUGUGCUCAGCUGGGUGGUGCUGAGUGCUUUAAGGGACUACAGGUACAACU